UACGUAGGUGACAAGCGUUGUCCGGAUUUACUGGGCGUAAAGAGCGCGCAGGCGGUCGAUCAAGUCGAGUGUGAAAGCCCCCGGCUCAACUGGGGAGGGUCAUUCGAUACUGAUCUACUCGAAGGCAGGAGAGGGUAGUGGAAUUCCCGGUGUAGUGGUGAAAUGCGUAGAUAUCGGGAGGAACACCAGUGGCGAAGGCGACUACCUGGCCCAUUCUUGACGCUGAGGCGCGAAAGCUAGGGGAGCGAACGGG
rnacentral:rRNA from 1 species